UUUGUGAAUCUAUUGGGAUCGGGAUUGACUGAGUUUAGUGAUUUCUCUCAACUCUUAACUACUGUACUUAGCUUCUCUUUUCCCAGGGCAAGCUAAGCAGACUAGCAGAGAGUGUGUGUGUGUGUGUGUGUAAGGAGAAAGCAUGAGUGGAGAAGAGGCGGCGGGGCCCCCAGGCCCAAAGGCCCUACGUCUGCUGUAUUUCGUUGGCGCUGGAUUCAUAUGCACGGCUGCAAUCAACAAGUGGCGAGAACUGGAGCGAAAGGCAGUCCUAAAGAAAGAGCAGCAAUUGCCUCCAACUCCAAAUUCUCCUGAUACGGUACAAUAAGCCGUCGAUUAAUCAUCCCAACUCUUGUCUUUUUUUCUUCUUUUUUUGGGUUGUGGUUUCGGGAUCUAAUAAUAGCACACAAUUUCAAUUUAUGUCUUUUCACCGUUGUUUUCUGAUUAUAACAUAUGAUUAUGACGAUGAACUGAGAGACUCUUCUCAUGGAUUUGAGUAUUUUACUUAUUAGUCAAUAUUUGUAGCUUUUUUUUU